GAAACCUGGUUGAUCCUGCCAGUAGCAUACGCUUGUCUCAAAGAUUAAGCCAUGCACGUCUAAGUAUAAGCGAUUAUACUGUGAAACUGCGAAUGGCUCAUUAUAUCAGUUAUAGUUUAUUUGAUGGUCCUUGCUACUUGGAUAACCGUAGUAAUUCUAGAGCUAAUACAUGCAUAAAGCCCUGACUGUUUGGA
rnacentral:rRNA from 1 species